rnacentral:rRNA from 1 species
CAGUAGCCGCGGUAUACGUAGGUGGCAAGCGUUGUCCGGAAUUAUUGGGCGUAAAGGGCUCGCAGGCGGUUUCUUAAGUCUGAUGUGAAAGCCCCCGGCUCAACCGGGGAGGGUCAUUGGAAACUGGGAAACUUGAGUGCAGAAGAGGAGAGUGGAAUUCCACGUGUAGCGGUGAAAUGCGUAGAGAUGUGGAGGAACACCAGUGGCGAAGGCGACUCUCUGGUCUGUAACUGACGCUGAGGAGCGAAAGCGUGGGGAGCGAACAGGAUUAGAUACCCCCGUAGUCCCUGUCUCUUAUACA